GAUGAACGCUGGCGGCGUCCCUAAUACAUGCAAGUCGAGCGAAGCGGGGACGGGUGAGUAACACGUGGAUAACCUCCUAUAAGACUGGGAUAACUUCGGGAAACCGGAGCUAAACCGGUUACUUAUUGAUGGAUCCGAGCUGCAUUAGCUAGUUGGUAGGGUAACGGCUUACCAAGGCAACGAUGCAUAGCCAACCUGAGAGGGGGAUCGGCCACGCUGAAACUGAGACACGGUCAGGACUCCUACGGGAGGCAGCAGUAGGAAAUCUUCCGCAAUGGGCGAAAGCCUAACGGAGCAACGCCGCGUGAGUGAUGAAGAUCUUCGGAUCGUAAAACUCUGAUAUUAGGGAAGCGGUACCUAAUCAGAAAGCCACGGCUAACUACGUGCCAGCAGCCGCGGUAAUAC
rnacentral:rRNA from 1 species